UACAGAGGUGGCAAGCGUUGUUCGGAAUUACUGGGCGUAAAGGGCGCGUAGGCGGCCUUCUAAGUCAGACGUGAAAUCCCCCGGCUUAACCUGGGAACUGCGUCUGAUACUGGGAGGCUAGAGUAUGGGAGAGGGAUGUAGAAUUCCAGGUGUAGCGGUGAAAUGCGUAGAUAUCUGGAGGAAUACCGGUGGCGAAGGCGGCAUCCUGGACCAUUACUGACGCUGAGGCGCGAAAGCUAGGGGAGCAAACAGG
rnacentral:rRNA from 1 species